rnacentral:rRNA from 1 species
UGGGGAAUAUUGCGCAAUGGGGGAAACCCUGACGCAGCAACGCCGCGUGGGUGAAGAAGGCCUUCGGGUUGUAAAGCCCUUUCGGCCGGGAAGAAGGGUGUAUGGGCUAAUAACCUGUGCAUUUGAUGGUACCGGAAGAAGAAGCACCGGCAAACUUCGUGCCAGCAGCCGCGGUAAUACGAAGGGUGCGAGCGUUGUUCGGAAUUACUGGGCGUAAAGGGUUCGUAGGCGGGAGAGCAAGUCGAAUGUGAAAACCCCGGGCUUAACCUGGGACGUGCAUUUGAUACUGUUUUUCUUGAGUUUUGGAGAGGGUGGUGGAAUUGCUGGUGUAGGAGUGACAUCCGUAGAGAUCAGCAGGAACGCCGGAGGCGAAAGCGACCACCUGGCCAAGGACUGACGC